CUUGUUAGAAGCUCAGGAGUCGACUCGAAGUGUUUACAAGUCGACUCGUCGAGAUCCAAGAGUUGAUUCAUGCAGUUCAAGAGUCGGCUCUUCAUCAGGUCUCAUCAGGUCUUCAAAAUUUAGUUUGUUUAUUUUUUCUGAGAGAGUCGGCUCGCUAGAUGAGAGUCGACUCGCCAACGUCCAAGAGUCGAUUCAUGGGGUUCAAGAGUUGGCUCUUGCAAGUGUGCCAAAAAAAUUACUCUCUAUCCUACUGAGAGAGUUGGCUUGGGGCUUCCACGAGUCGACUUGCCAGCAUGCCAAACUUGC
rnacentral:lncRNA from 1 species